AGCCUAUGAACCCUCACUUCCUACCCACUGUGAUUCAAAGGCUUGUGUCUGGCUGUUUGGUGGUGGUUGCAUAACUGCGGCUAACUGCCACGUGCUAACCACAUUUCCAGCAAGCUGGUUCCAGCCAGUUCCAGCUAGACCUUCUGAAGUGAAGGGUUAGCCUCCGUUCAACCCUCACACUAUGGAUUCAACAAGGUGCUGGAAACAUUCCUUCAGGAUUUUGGCCCAUGCUGACUCCAUGGCGUCAUGCAGUUCUUGCCAAUUGUUUCGGCCACACAUUUCUGCCGCAAAACUCCCACACCACCGCCUCCUGAAAGUGCUCUGUUGUAUUGAGAUCUGGGAACUGUGCAGGUCACUGGAGUAAAAUUGGAGUUGGCAAGGGUAGUCAUGAGAUACAUUUUCCGUAAGUCUUCUUAAUCCGCUGCAGCUUUAAAAAUCCAGCUACAGCCUGGAGACGAAGACUUUGGAAAUGACACACCGGCAGAGGGGGCUGCCGGUCUCGGCCCUCCCUUACUGGAGCUCAGACAGUAAGGCACAGCUGGAUCUGGGCCCAGCCGGCUGGUAGUACUAACCAAAUGGCUUUACACACUCAGAACAGCAAAGCACACCAGA